rnacentral:rRNA from 1 species
GAUGAACGCUGGCGGCGUGCCUAAUACAUGCAAGUCGAGCGAACGGACGAGAAGCUUGCUUCUCUGAUGUUAGCGGCGGACGGGUGAGUAACACGUGGAUAACCUACCUAUAAGACUGGGAUAACUUCGGGAAACCGGAGCUAAUACCGGAUGAUAUUUUGAACCGCAUGGUUCAAAAGUGAAAGACGGUCUUGCGGUCACUUAUAGAUGGAUCCGCGCUGCAUUAGCUAGUUGGUAAGGUAACGGCUUACCAAGGCAACGAUGCAUAGCCGACCUGAGAGGGUGAUCGGCCACACUGGAACUGAGACACGGUCCAGACUCCUACGGGAGGCAGCAGUAGGGAAUCUUCCGCAAUGGGCGAAAGCCUGACGGAGCAACGCCGCGUGAGUGAUGAAGGUCUUCGGAUCGUAAAACUCUGUUAUUAGGGAAGAACAUAUGUGUAAGUAACUGUGCACAUCUUGACGGUACCUAAUCAGAAAGCCACGGCUAACUACGUG